rnacentral:rRNA from 1 species
AGAAAUCAACCGAGAUUCCCCCAGUAGCGGCGAGCGAACGGGGAGGAGCCCAGAGCCUGAAUCAGUGUGUGUGUUAGUGGAAGCGUCUGGAAAGGCGUGCGAUACAGGGUGACAGCCCCGUACACAAAAAUGCACAUAUUGUGAGCUCGAUGAGUAGGGCGGGACACGUGGUAUCCUGUCUGAAUAUGGGGGGACCAUCCUCCAAGGCUAAAUACUCCUGACUGACCGAUAGUGAACCAGUACCGUGAGGGAAAGGCGAAAAGAACCCCGGCGAGGGGAGUGAAAAAGAACCUGAAACCGUGUACGUACAAGCAGUGGGAGCCUCUUAAUGGGGUGACUGCGUACCUUUUGUAUAAUGGGUCAGCGACUUAUAUUCUGUAGCAAGGUUAACCGAAUAGGGGAGCCGAAGGGAAACCGAGUCUUAACUGGGCGUUAAGUUGCAGGGUAUAGACCCGAAACCCGGUGAUCUAGCCAUGGGCAGGUUGAAGGUUGGGUAACACUAACUGGAGGACCGAACCGACUAAUGUUGAAAAAUUAGCGGAUGACUUGUGGCUGGGGGUGAAAGGCCAAUCAAACCGGGAGAUAGCUGGUUCUCCCCGAAAGCUAUUUAGGUAGCGCCUCGUGAAUUCAUCUCCGGGGGUAGAGCACUGUUUCGGCAAGGGGGUCAUCCCGACUUACCAACCCGAUGCAAACUGCGAAUACCGGAGAAUGUUAUCACGGGAGACACACGGCGGGUGCUAACGUCCGUCGUGAAGAGGGAAACAACCCAGACCGCCAGCUAAGGUCCCAAAGUCAUGGUUAAGUGGGAAACGAUGUGGGAAGGCCCAGACAGCCAGGAUGUUGGCUUAGAAGCAGCCAUCAUUUAAAGAAAGCGUAAUAGCUCACUGGUCGAGUCGGCCUGCGCGGAAGAUGUAACGGGGCUAAACCAUGCACCGAAGCUGCGGCAGCGACACUAUGUGUUGUUGGGUAGGGGAGCGUUCUGUAAGCCUGUGAAGGUGGCCUGUGAGGGUUGCUGGAGGUAUCAGAAGUGCGAAUGCUGACAUAAGUAACGAUAAAGCGGGUGAAAAGCCCGCUCGCCGGAAGACCAAGGGUUCCUGUCCAACGUUAAUCGGGGCAGGGUGAGUCGACCCCUAAGGCGAGGCCGAAAGGCGUAGUCGAUGGGAAACAGGUUAAUAUUCCUGUACUUGGUGUUACUGCGAAGGGGGGACGGAGAAGGCUAUGUUGGCCGGGCGACGGUUGUCCCGGUUUAAGCGUGUAGGCUGGUUUUCCAGGCAAAUCCGGAAAACCAAGGCUGAGGCGUGAUGA